UCCUGGCUCAGGAUGAACGCUAGCUACAGGCUUAACACAUGCAAGUCGAGGGGAAACGACAUCGAAAGCUUGCUUUUGAUGGGCGUCGACCGGCGCACGGGUGAGUAACGCGUAUCCAACCUGCCCAUCACUUGGGAAUAACCUUGCGAAAGUAAGACUAAUGCCCAAUGAUAUCCCACGAAGGCAUCCGAAUGGGAUUAAAGAUUUAUCGGUGAUGGAUGGGGAUGCGUCUGAUUAGCUUGUUGGCGGGGUAACGGCCCACCAAGGCAACGAUCAGUAGGGGUUCUGAGAGGAAGGUCCCCCACAUUGGAACUGAGACACGGUCCAAACUCCUACGGGAGGCAGCAGUGAGGAAUAUUGGUCAAUGGGCGAGAGCCUGAACCAGCCAAGUAGCGUGCAGGAAGACGGCCCUAUGGGUUGUAAACUGCUUUUAUAAGGGAAUAAAGUGGGUCACGUGUGACUUUUUGCAUGUACCUUAUGAAUAAGGACCGGCUAAUUCCGUGCCAGCAGCCGCGGUAAUACGGAAGGUCCGGGCGUUAUCCGGAUUUAUUGGGUUUAAAGGGAGCGUAGGCCGGAGAUUAAGCGUGUUGUGAAAUGUAGAGGCUCAACCUCUGCACUGCAGCGCGAACUGGUCUUCUUGAGUACGCACAACGUGGGCGGAAUUCGUGGUGUAGCGGUGAAAUGCUUAGAUAUCACGAAGAACUCCGAUUGCGAAGGCAGCUCACGGGAGCGCAACUGACGCUGAAGCUCGAAAGUGCGGGUAUCGAACAGGAUUAGAUACCCUGGUAGUCCGCACGGUAAACGAUGGAUGCCCGCUGUUGGCCUGAAUAGGUCAGCGGCCAAGCGAAAGCAUUAAGCAUCCCACCUGGGGAGUACGCCGGCAA
rnacentral:rRNA from 1 species